rnacentral:rRNA from 1 species
UACGGAAGGCAGCAGUAGGGAAUAUUGCACAAUGGGCGCAAGCCUGAUGCAGCCAUGCCGCGUGUAUGAAGAAGGCCUUCGGGUUGUAAAGUACUUUCAGUCGUGAGGAAGGUGUUAAGGUUAAUAACCUUAGCAAUUGACGUUAGCGACAGAAGAAGCACCGGCUAACUCCGUGCCAGCAGCCGCGGUAAUACGGAGGGUGCGAGCGUUAAUCGGAAUUACUGGGCGUAAAGGGCACGCAGGCGGUUAAUUAAGUUGGAUGUGAAAUCCCCGGGCUUAACCUGGGAAUGGCAUUCAAGACUGGUUAGCUAGAGUCUUGUAGAGGGGGUAGAAUUCCAUGUGUAGCGGUGAAAUGCGUAGAGAUGUGGAAGAAUACCGGUGGCGAAGGCGGCCCCUGGACAAAGACUGACGCUCAUGUGCGAAAGCGUGGGGAGCAAAC